UACGGGAGGGGGCUAGCGUUGUUCGGAAUUACUGGGCGUAAAGCGCACGUAGGCGGCUUUGUAAGUUAGAGGUGAAAGCCCGGAGCUCAACUCCGGAAUUGCCUUUAAGACUGCAUCGCUCGAAUCAUGGAGAGGUGAGUGGAAUUCCGAGUGUAGAGGUGAAAUUCGUAGAUAUUCGGAAGAACACCAGUGGCGAAGGCGGCUCACUGGACCGGUAUUGACGCUGAGGUGGCGAAAGCGUGGGGAGCAACAGG
rnacentral:rRNA from 1 species